GACGAACGCUGGCGGCGUGCUUAACACAUGCAAGUCGAACGGAAAGGCCCUGCUUUUGUGGGGUGCUCGAGUGGCGAACGGAUGAGUAACACGUGAGUAACCUGCCCUUGACUUUGGGAUAACGUCAGGAAACUGGGGCUAAUACCGGAUAGGAGCUCCUGCGGCAUGGGGGGGGUUGGAAAGUGUCGGCGGUUGGGGAUGGACUCGCGGCUUAUCAGCUUGUUGGUGGGGUAGUGGCUUACCAAGGCUUUGACGGGUAGCCGGCCUGAGAGGGUGACCGGCCACAUUGGGACUGAGAUACGGCCCAGACUCCUACGGGAGGCAGCAGUGGGGAAUAUUGCACAAUGGGCGGAAGCCUGAUGCAGCAACGCCGCGUGCGGGAUGACGGCCUUCGGGUUGUAAACCGCUUUCGCCUGUGACGAAGCGUGAGUGACGGUAAUUGGUAAAGAAGCACCGGCUAACUACGUG
rnacentral:rRNA from 1 species